AACGGCCAUACUAUGCUGAAGACACUGAUUCUCACCUGUUCACUGCAGUUAAGCAGCAUUGGGCACGGUCAGUAUUUGGGAGGGUGACCACCUGGGAACACUGCAUGCUGU